AGAAUCAACGCUGGCGGCGUGCCUAACACAUGCAAGUCGAACGCGAAAGCCCCGCAAGGGGUCAGUAGAGUGGCAAACGGGUGAGUAACACGUGGGUGACCUGCCUUCGAGUGGGGGAUAACGUCCCGAAAGGGACGCUAAUACCGCAUAACAUCCUGCCUUUUAAGAGGUGGACAUCAAAGCUGGGGACCGCAAGGCCUGGCGCUUGAAGAGGGGCCCGCGCCUGAUUAGCUAGUUGGUGGGGUAAUGGCUCACCAAGGCAACGAUCAGUA
rnacentral:rRNA from 1 species